rfam:Salmo salar isolate Sally breed double haploid chromosome ssa10, whole genome shotgun sequence.
UUCACUACUUACUGUAAGUCACUCUGGAUAAGAGUGUCUGCUAAAUGACUAAAA